GACAUUAUUGUUUGGGAUUAAA
rnacentral:piRNA from 1 species